rnacentral:rRNA from 1 species
GACGUAGGGCGCGAGCGUUGUCCGGAUUUAUUGGGCGUAAAGAGCUCGUAGGCGGCUUGUCGCGUCGUCCGUGAAAACCUGCGGCUCAACUGCAGGCUUGCGGUCGAUACGGGCAGGCUGGAGUCCGGUAGGGGAGUGGGGAAUUCCUGGUGUAGCGGUGAAAUGCGCAGAUAUCAGGAGGAACACCGGUGGCGAAGGCGGAUCUCUGGGCCAUUACUGACGCUGAGGAGCGAAAGCGUGGGGAGCGAACAGG